rnacentral:tRNA from 1 species
GGCCCCAUCGUCUAGUGGUUAGGACAUCAGGUUUUCAUCCUGGAAACAGGGGUUCGAUUCCCCUUGGGGCUACCA